UUUUAGUACAUCGUUUGGGUUUCCAAAUACACCACAUUAUAUUAUAAGCCGUUCAACUUCAAGAAAUCAAUCGAUUUUCAAUUACUGUGUGCAUUGAGUGUAUUGUAUAGCUUUUUUGGAAAAUGCAUAUAACCUCUAAGAUUUCUAUCUUAUGCAUAAUACUGGCCGUAUGUCUUGCUGCACUGCCGACUAGUGCUAGUCCACCGGCUAAUCAAUCUAGCAUAGUGGCUAGUGAUUUGCCCGGCGUGACCACAACGUUCACAGACAAAAAUGGUUACACUGUCACACAUGUAAAGAAAGAAUAUGUUGAUAACCGACCCGGACAAACGUUCAAUGUAUCCGUGAUCGAAAUAACCAAACGGUUGCCAGAUGGUGGCCCGAAAAGUAUAAGAUAAGAACUUAGAUUCGGCCUACAUCCGUUCAAAAACCAUUGGAAAUCGGUCGUUAUUUUUUUUUUUUAAUAAACUGCAUGUAAUCCGUGUAACGAUUUGAUAUUGUUUUUUUGUUAAUUUGUUGAUAAUUUAAUAAAUACCAAAUGUAUACUCUCUGUAUACUCAUA